GUCUACGGCCAUGCCGCCCUGGACGCGCCCGAUCUCGUCAGAUCUCGGAAGCAAAGCAGGGUCGGGCCUGGUUAGUACCUGGACGGGAGACCGCCUGGGGAACACCGGGUGCCGUGGGCU